rnacentral:rRNA from 1 species
UACGUAGGGUGCAAGCGUUGUCCGGAUUUAUUGGGCGUAAAGAGCGUGUAGGCGGUUUGGUAGGUCCGUUGUGAAAACUCGAGGCUCAACCUCGAGACGCCGAUGGAAACCAUCAGACUAGAGUCCGGAAGAGGAGAGUGGAAUUCCUGGUGUAGCGGUGAAAUGCGCAGAUAUCAGGAAGAACACCAAUAGCGAAGGCAGCUCGCUGGGACGUUACUGACACUGAGGCGCGAAAGCGUGGGGAGCGAACAGG